GACGAACGCUGGCGGCGUGCUUAACACAUGCAAGUCGAACGGAAAGGCCCUGCUUUUGUGGGGUGCUCGAGUGGCGAACGGGUGAGUAACACGUGAGUAACCUGCCCUUGACUUUGGGAUAACUUCAGGAAACUGGGGCUAAUACCGGAUAGGAGCUCCUGCUGCAUGGUGGGGGUUGGAAAGUUUCGGCGGUUGGGGAUGGACUCGCGGCUUAUCAGCUUGUUGGUGGGGUAGUGGCUUACCAAGGCUUUGACGGGUAGCCGGCCUGAGAGGGUGACCGGCCACAUUGGGACUGAGAUAGGGCCCAGACUCCUACGGGAGGCAGAAGUGGGGAAUAUUGCACAAUGGGCGGAAGCCUGAUGCAGCAACGCCGCGUGCGGGAUGACGGCCUUCGGGUUGUAAACCGCUUUCGCCUGUGACGAAGCGUGAGUGACGGUAAUGGGUAAAGAAGCACCGGCUAACUACGUG
rnacentral:rRNA from 1 species